UCCAUCGCAGCAUGCAAAGGUUCGCUGUAUUAUCGUGUCAGCGCAGUUGCAUGUUUUUUAUCGUGCGGCAACGAGCCCGUGUCGUUAAUAGCUACAAUAAUAAUACAAUAAAAAAUGAUUACCUAGUAUCUUUGAUUGGUCGUUGGAGAACAUCGUCCGUGUGUUCGGAUAGAAGCCUGACAUCGAUCGACCAUGCAAUUAAUACGAUCUCGUACACACAGUUCCCAACGAUUCGAUCGAGUUCCAAGAAUCGCGUGUUUUUACUCGUUGCGCUAGUUGUUCACGCGAACUCGCAUCUCCAGAACAAACCUUCCGUCUUACAGUUGCGAAACCGUAAAUACAGAAAAGAAAACGCAGCUCUUGAAACUCUGACGAAACGCUGAUAAUACGGUGGAUUGUCGCGUGCCGUGGAAUGGAAAAUUCGUCGUUACUUCUUUCAUACAUACGAUAUUUGUUUGUAACUGUGGAAAAACGCGUUUAUCGAUCAGCAUCGUGCCACAUAUUUUUCGAUUAAGCCCUCCGUGUUUGACGGUUUAAAUUUGUCACGCCCUGUAUGCAUUUGUAAUUUUUACACGCAUAUAUAUAUAUUCGUUUGUACUACGAUUACCGUCACACUUUAUAUAUGGUAUUAUCACAUCGACGCUAUCAGUUCUUACAGUAUCACGAUCAGAGUCAAGUUUAGAAUAGAAGAACCAAUUAACGACGGAUCGCAAAGUAAGAAGCUUAUAACAUAAUCGGCAAGGAAGUGGGAUUUUCCGGAUUCACAGACACGAAGCUCGAAUCAUCCCUGAUCGACCGCCACCUUUCGUUUUUCGGCUGGAACAUCACAUGCUGGCCAUUCGUCAGUGGCUGAACGAAGAACGAUCUCUGACCGAUCGACAUCAAAGCG